AUCCGCAACUCGUCAAGGCAGGGGUGGGGGAACCACCGCACACGACGCGCCGACCACCAGUCGGCUCGUCUCGGGGUGAAGCCGGCAUCGCCGGCCGGGCACCGAUCGCCCGAACCCGACAGCUAACCCCUCAGGCGGUGAUCGGAGAUCAC
rnacentral:sRNA from 2 species